UCGUUCAUAUCCCACGUGCUACCCCGUAUUUUCAUUACUCAUUAAUCAAGUGAAAUAGCCAUUUACAAUUUGAACAUAUUCUUACGCGAUAUACAUAACAUACAUGGUUACUUGCAUGGAUUACAACUUAUACCGCGCAACAUACAAAAUAUAUAUGUGCAUAAGUUCACAAUCCACAUUUCCUAUCUACGGAGCCUCUGAGGAUACAAAAGGGUUAUAUGAUACUUGCCGGGAACAAGCCUCUGGCUAUACCUUACACAAAUAUCAAAAUAAGACUCCGGAAGAGAAGUGGCAUGAGCCACGCUGUGUCUAGAGAGCAAAGAGCCUCACCAAUUCAGCUGAAAGGAAGUGAAUGAGUGCUAUUGUCGGUGGACUGGAGUACCUGCUAUAGAACCACCUACAAUCAUAACACGAAUGUAGCGCCCCCAGCAAAAUGGACGUUAAUAUAUUUGACUUAUACUGGUAUGUAUGAACAAACUUGACCCCAAGAAAAAUUAAUCAAUGCGCACAUAACAAAUAGUAAUAGAAUAACCGAUCAAAUGCAAAAGAAAGGAACAACCAAAAUCAAACAAGUUUCAUAAUCGUUCCUUUUCCCCUUUCGACAAUAUUCCAUCACAUCAAUGAUUUUCAUAUCUUUCACAUAUUUUCAUUUGAAUAGUGAUUUCGAUCAUUUUUUCACCCUUAUUACCUCUGUCACCCUUAUUACCUCGGCUAACCUUAUCAUCACAACCUACACCUUAUAACUUCGCAUUGCGGCAUGCAACCCGAUGUCAUACCACUUUUUAAACAUAUAACCUACGAAGGGCGUAUACAAGGGAGUUUUUCCAAUUAAAGGACAAUCGAAGCGAGAUUUAUUUAUAUAAAGAUUUCAGAGUCUCCUCUUGGGAUAAUUAAUGAUGUCCCAAGUCACCGGUUUAAAAUGCCGCAUCGAGGAUGGUUUGACUCUGUUAUACAGUCUGCGAGGUAGAAAUCCAGGUAAGGAAUUCUGUUAACCCGGGAGAAGGUGUUAGGCAUUUCCUAGUUCCGUGGUUCUAGCACGGUUGCUCAACUGUUACAUUUGGCUUAAGUAUCUUAUUUUAAAACAUUUGUAACUAUGUGUCAAUUUUGUUUUUAGCCUCUUUUAUUUAACUUUUAAAGAAUAUUGCAACGUCGUUUAAAACAUGUCUCGAACCACGUCACAUAAAUGCACCCGUAGUAUUGGCAUAUUUCAACAUCAUUGGGAUUUGGAUUUGGAUCACAUAAAUGCGCACUCGUAGUUAGGAAGGUAGAUUAUUUAACUAGCAUGCCUCAGGUAAUUGCGUGUUUUUCCAAAUUUGCAAAGGCCACAAAAAGUUCGCUAAGUUGCAUACCUCGGGUUCUAAGGAUUUAAAAGAAAUAAUUAAGCAAGGGCCAUGCGUUUUGAGAUUUUAUUUGGCAUAGCACACCUCAAAUCUUUUCUAUGUAAAUUGUACUCAACUAAAGAACGGCACAAACCAACAUCUACUUUCAAUUUCUCUAAAAGUCAGCAUGUGGCUUGCACAUACUCAUAUUUUAGUUGAAUUGAACAAAAACAAAGCAAAUAAAAUUAACAAUGAUUACCCUAAACUAUAAUUAUUUUAUUUGAGAUCUAUGCCAGCAAACAACUCAACAUUCUUAGAGAUCCAUAAGUCUAAAUUUUUAACAAAAAUAUAAUGAACACACCAAGAUAGUAGACCAAUGAACUGAAACAUGAAAGCAUAACAAACAAAAUUUAAAUAACAAGAACUCACUCACAGAUAUUGGACAAACCAGGAAAGAGACAAACGAAAUGAGCAUUCUAUAAAUAUAACAUUCUCAAAACAAAACAAUUUCAAAUUUGAACCUGUUUAACACCCGAAAGUUUGAUCAAUGAAGACUAACGAACUACGAACCGGACACACUCGAACAGUAACCUCGGCUCAAUCCAAAUUGUAAACUCAGUCGGACAUGAACGACGGUCGAGACUCCGACCUCAACAGCCUCCCCUCUUUGUUCCUUUUUGUUUCCCCUGUCUCUAUUUUUGUGUAUGUUAUUUAGUAAUAAAAAAGAAGAAGAUGAAGCUUUGGAGGGUCGUUUGGUUUUUAUUUGCUGCAGCGUGAGAGUUUUUCCCAUGGGAGAGGUCUAUGUUGUGAUGGAACCGGUGCUGCUUCAACUCCUAAUCUUAGGCGUUGCCUUCAGCUUUUAUUUUUCCAGGCAUUAUAUUUUUUGUUGUAUGUGUGUGUAUGGUCGUCGGAUUCCAGCAUGGUGAGGAAGCGAUGGCUUCUGUAGUUUUUUUGGCGAGUUUGGUGGUCGUUUAUGGCUGCUCCUCUCUUGUGAGAAGAUGGGGAUGAGGACGAUGAUAAAUACACGGGAGGGGAUCCUAUUUUGGGCGCAGCUCCCCUCUCAGCUUUUC
rnacentral:lncRNA from 1 species